GACGAACGCUGGCGGCGUGCUUAACACAUGCAAGUCGAACGGAAAGGCCCUGCGUUUGUGGGGUGCUCGAGUGGCGAACGGGUGAGUAACACGUGAGUAACCUGCCCUGGACUUUGGGAUAACUUCAGGAAACUGGGGCUAAUACCGGAUAGGAGCUCCUGCUGCAUGGUGGGGGUUGGAAAGUUUCGGCGGUUGGGGAUGGACUCGCGGCUUAUCAGCUUGAUGGUGGGGUAGUGGCUUACCAAGGCUUUGACGGGUAGCCGGCCUGAGCGGGUGACCGGCCACAUUGGGACUGAGAUACGGCCCAGACUCCUACGGGAGGCAGCAGUGGGGAAUAUUGCACAAUGGGCGGAAGCCUGAUGCAGCAACGCCGCGUGCGGGAUGACGGCCUUCGGGUUGUAAACCGCUUUCGCCUGUGACGAAGCGUGAGUGACGGUAAUGGGUAAAGAAGCACCGGCUAACUACGUG
rnacentral:rRNA from 1 species